UACAACAAAAUAUUAAUUUUUAUAUUAUUUAAAAACUUAUUUCUCACAGUUCUGGAGACAGGGAACUCUCUCUAUCCCUCUUCCUAUAAAGCCGUCUAUCCUAUGACAUUAUGGCUUACACUCAUGACCUCACUUAGCCUUAGUUACCUUCUAAAGGUGCACUCUUCAAAUAUACUCAUGGUGGAAGUUGGGAUUUUAACAUAGGAAGUGUGGAGAAUGCAGUUUAGUCCACAGUAAGUAUCCUGUGGCAGACCUGUACCCUGAAGUCUUGGACAGCAUGCUGAAUGGAGUCUGUAAUACAGUUCAAUACAGAGUACUGUCAUUUCGUCAGCAUUAAGUCUUCCAUGGAUGUAACUCAGUGGUAGAGUAAGUUAACAUGUCGACUCUGGGUUUGAUCCUAGUAUCAGAAAAAAGAAUGUCUUUCAUCUAUAUAAAUAUGGACUAUGUUUCCACAUAUACCAAAGUAAAUUUCUUUGCAGUGUUUUAUUUUCUGUAGUCUUGUUUUUGUUUGUGUUUUUUGUUUUUGUUGUUAUUUUUGUGUACCUUGGCUGGCUCUGAACUCAUCUUCCUGGCUAGCUUCACAAGUGAUUACAGAUAUAUAAAGAGCCCUCAUUCAUGGUUCUUUACAUUUUUACUUAGUUUUUUAUUAUUUUAUUGUUUUGGAUGGUAUUGUAAAGAUUUUUCCCUUUUUGGGAUGGUAUCUGGCUAUGUUGUUUAUGCCUUCUGAGUGACUAAGGUUAUAGGUGAAGCUACCUCCCCUAAUAGAAUUUCUUCUUAAUUUCACAUUUAGAUUGUUAAUAUGUUGAAAUACACUUGAUUUUUGAGGUUUUAUUUAGAAUCCUAUAAACUUACUUAUUAAUUAAAAAUUUUGUUUAUUUAAAAUUUUUUCUUAUUUCUUAAGAUUUGUUAUGUAUAAGACUGUCACUUAAAAUGGUGCAUAAAAACAUAUAUGCCAUACUAAUUUGGAUACAUUUUCUUUCUAUUCCGGUUGUCUUGGCUAGACCCUCCUCCACGCUGGUGUUAAAUACAAUUGGUAUAGUUGAGGAGAUAUAGAUGUCUUGCUCCUGACUUUAGGGUGAAGGCAUCAAUCUUCACCAUUAAUAUGUUAAAUCUCAGGCUUUCCUAGAUAUUGCUAAAUUAAUAAGGUUGAAAAUGGUCCCUGAAUAUUCCUAGUUUACUGAAUAUUUUUACC
rnacentral:lncRNA from 1 species